UACGUAGGGUGCAAGCGUUAAUCGGAAUCACUGGGCGUAAAGGGCGCGUAGGCGGUUCAGUAAGUCUGCUGUGAAAGUCCAGGGCUCAACCCUGGGAUGCCGGUGGAUACUGCUGGACUAGAGUGCGGAAGAGGCGAGUGGAAUUCCCGGUGUAGCGGUGAAAUGCGCAGAUAUCGGGAGGAACACCGAUUGCGAAGGCAGCUCGCUGGGACGUUACUGACGCUGAGACGCGAAAGCGUGGGGAGCAAACAGG
rnacentral:rRNA from 1 species